GAUGAACGCUGGCGACAUGCUUAACACAUGCAAGUCGAACGAGACUAUGUGAACAACUUGUUGUUUACAUAUUUUAGUGGCGGACGGGUGAGUAACGCGUAAGAAUCUGCCUCGGGGCGAGGGAUACCAACUGGAAACGGUUGCUAAUACCUCAUAAGCUGAGAAGUAAAAGGUGUACUGCACCACCAAGAGAGGAGCUUGCGUCUGAUUAGUUAGUUGGUAAGGUAAUGGCUUACCAAGGCUAUGAUCAGUAGCUGGUCUGAGAGGACAAUCAGCC
rnacentral:rRNA from 1 species